CUGGCUCAGGAUGAACGCUAGCGACAGGCUAACACAUGCAAGUCGAGGGCAGCAUAGAAGUAGCAAUACUUGGUGGCGACCGGCGCACGGGUGAGUAACGCGUAUGCAACCUACCUAUCAGAGGGGAAUAACCCGGCGAAAGUCGGACUAAUACCGCAUAAAACAGGGGCACCGCAUGGUGAUAUUUGUUAAAGAAAUUCGCUGAUAGAUGGGCAUGCGUUCCAUUAGGUAGUUGGUGAGGUAACGGCUCACCAAGCCGACGAUGGAUAGGGGAACUGAGAGGUUGGUCCCCCACACUGGUACUGAGACACGGACCAGACUCCUACGGGAGGCAGCAGUGAGGAAUAUUGGUCAAUGGGCGGGAGCCUGAACCAGCCAAGUCGCCGUGAAGGAAGAAGGAUCUAUGGUUCGUAAACUUCUUUUGCAGGGGAAUAAAGUGCAGGACGUGUCCUGUUUUGUAUGUACCCUGAGAAUAAGGAUCGGCUAACUCCGUGCCAGCCGCGGC
rnacentral:rRNA from 1 species